GCGGGCUUGACAGCGGAGAAACAUGGCGGCCCCGACGCUUACUGCGAGGUUGUAUUCCCUGCUGUACCGCAGGACCUCCACCUUCGCUCUCACCAUCGCCGUGGGCACCUUAUUCUUCGAGUGCGCCUUCGAUCAAGGCGUGGACGCGAUCUACGAACACAUCAACCAGGGGAAGCUGUGGAAACACAUCAAGCACAAGUAUGAGAAUAAGGAAUAGUUCCUCAGAGACUCCUCCCCACGCCGAAAGGACCAGGUCCACCCACCAGCUGUUUGCCCAGAACCAGGGCCUCAGCCUGAAGAUGAUGCUCAGAUUACUCAUCAUUGACCACCUGUAGCUGUUGGCAAGAAGUGGCUUCACCUGACAGACUCUUUAACUUCUGCUGUGUUUGAAGUCUGUUUAGUCAGAGUCAUCAGCAAAUAAAUGGAAAUUGUCCUCAA